CUGGCUACCCUAGUCCUUAAACGGCUUACAUUAACGUUACCUUUGUUGUCACAGAAAAUAAAGAAGCAGAACAUACAUUUACACCCAAUAACCGUAAUUGACCCAUAAAGCUGUCGCAAUGGAGCUAUUAAAGAAUUUUCCGGCUGCCUGCAGCUCUUUCUGCCCACAAAUUAUUCAUCGUGCUCCCUGCAGGCCCCAGCUGUCAAGCCCAGAAUAGGGAAGAUGGGAGUUCUGACUCAGGAGGGUUGGAGAAGACGAUGCAAUACAGCUUUUCUGAUGGCCCGAAGUCUCCCAUGUCGACUACAGGAGGUCCAACCUAAAGAAGUUUUCAUUAGUUCUGUGGAUCAUUCCUGGUGUAAACCAGGACUUGUGUAUGGAGGACCGAAAAAGGAAGCUGUAUAAUUCCACCAUGACCCCUCCAUCACAUCCAUGGCGGGUGGAGUCUUCCGUGCCUCAAAGGUGGCAGAGCAGCUGGCCUACUACAUCCAUGUGUCAGAGGCGGUAAUCGCAGAAGAGACGUUUGAUACGCCCGUAAGUACAGUUUGGCACAGUGCAGGGUGACCCCAACCACAGCUGAGCAGGAUGACCUGUUUAUAUGCCCCCUUGGUUGCCCUCAGCACCUACUGGGAAAAGAGUAUGAAAGGACAACCACACCACCAACAUGUACCGCUACCUCAUCAGUCUCACAGGU